rnacentral:pre_miRNA from 1 species
CUCGUCCAUAUUGUCCUGUCACAGCAGUACGUGCUGGCUACUGCUGCGUCGGGACAAGCCGGUCGAG